rnacentral:misc_RNA from 1 species
GAUGAAGAACGUAGCGAAAUGCGAUAAGUAAUGUGAAUUGCAGAAUUCAGUGAAUCAUCGAAUCUUUGAACGCUCCUUGCGCUCUUUGGUAUUCCAAGGAGCAUGCCUGUUUGAGUGUCAUGUAAUUCUCAACCUUUUCUGGCUUUUUAUAAGCUGGUUCAGGCUUGGACUAUGGAAGGUUGCUGGCUUCAUAGAGGUCAGCUCUUCUGAAAUACAUUAGCAAGAUUAUUGCUGCUCAUCUUUAAUAUGAUAAUUAUCUGUAUUAUUGAAGAGUCAGUCUCCUUUCUUGGAAAGUCUUGCUUCAAAUAGUCUCUUUCGAGACAAUACUUGACAAUUUUGACCUCAAAUCAGGUAGGACUACCCGCUGAACUUAAGCAUAUCAAUAAGCGGAGGA